UCUUUCAUUUCCACCUGUUCACAGUUCCGCACGCGCUUCCCGCUCUUUGAGGUCGCUGUUUAUUUGCCCGCGCGCCGCGAAAGAGAGAGAGAAACAGAGAGAAAGAGAGAGAGAAACAGAGAGAGAAAGAAUUAGAGAGAAAGAGAGACAAAGAGAGAGAGAAAGAGAGAGAGAGAGAUUUUACGCACGGAGCGCUCGAGCGCAGCAGCCUCACAUGACACCGCCGCACCGCCUCAGAGCAGCUCUCAGCUCAGCUCCGGCUGGCCGCCUUCAGCCGCCGCUCAAUGAAUGGAUUACCCGCACGUUCGCUUCACGUCACGGAUGAUUGUUCCCCCUCAUCAGCCGGCCGUCGCUGCGAUUCCACGGUCGCCUCGCCAGGACUUGCGGACACUGCCACGCGGCGGGGGGCGCUGGUCUGAGAGCGGCUGAAGAUCGAGUGGACGCGCGGCUGGCCGUCUGGAGAGCUCUCCGCGAAGUCCUGGUGUCCACGGCGCCGGGAGAACUCCCCCCCCCCCCCCCACCUGCCGGUUUCUCCUCGGUCUCAGAUGUUCAUCAGCGGGCUCGCGCUUCCUCGGAAAUCUCUCCACCGUUUCCCCCGUUAAUUAUGUUCACUUUUGCUGCUUUCUGCUACAUGCUGUCUUUGGUCCUCUGUGUCUCCCUCAUCUUCUUCGCAAUAUGGCACAUUACGGCUUUCGACGAGCUCCAGGCUGACUUUAAGGUGCCGAUCGAUCAAGGCAAUCCACUCCAUGCGAGGGAGAGACUCAGAAACAUCGAGAGGAUCUGCAACCUGCUGAGGAAGUUGGUGCUGCCAGAGUACUCCAUCCAUGGGCUGUUCUGCAUAAUGUUCCUGUGUGCCCAGGAGUGGCUGACUGUGGGCCUUAACAUCCCCCUCCUCUUCUACAAUACCUGGAGCAGGUACUUCCAUUCCCCAACGGACACUAAGGAGCUGAUCUACGACCCGGCAUCUGUGAUGAACGGCGACACGCUCAAGUUCUGCCAGAAGGAAGCGUGGUGCAAGCUGUCCUUCUUCGUCCUGUCCUUCUUCUACUAUCUCUACUGGUAAGCGCCGGGCUUCACCCAGCGGAGCGGUUCUUAGAUGUUGAGGUAUGUUAUGGAUGCUGAUCUGAGGGGGCUUGGAAACCUCGUCGAGUAGCGCGGGUUUCUGAAGAGAAGAGGUUUGUCUCUCCGCAAAGACUGAUUCUUCGGCUCUGACAGCAAUGUGUGUGCAAAUCUCUGAAUAAAGUAACCAUUUCUCUAGCGAUCACAUGCUGCCUCCUCCGUGUGACAGAAGUUUAGCCAGGGUAGGAAUGUUUCCUUGUAGGCCAGCUAUCGCUAAUGCAUGUGAUGUCAAGAGAAUUUGAUUCUUUACUUCAUUGACAAGCACCACCUAAAGCAGCAGCACUCUUACUCGAAAUGUGAAUUAUUCUGUUUUGUUUUCGGAGGGUCUUAGUUCUGCUCACUGUUCUGAAUGUUUCUGCUGAAAUUGUCUGUUGUUCUGUGAUGAUAAUAACACGCACAGUUUUCCUCUCUAUGUCUAACAAUGCUGUUAUUAAUCACUCCGGAUUCCUGUCCCAUGUGUCAUGUGGGUGCUGCAGUGUGUGGAACCUGGAAAUAUCCCUCUAUUAGGUCUUAUCAGUGGAAACAUUUAAAGCUCUGGAUGCAGCGCUCAGCUUGAACUGAAAUCAUCUCGCUUCUUCCAUCUCAUCCCAUCGUCCCGCCCGGCUCUGGCUCAUGUCGGACUGUUUUAGAGAUCAACCAAGGCGACGGCAUCAGACAGAGUCCAACUCGCCUGCUCCCCUCAGCUCAUCCCCACCUUCACAGUGACUUCUACCUGCACACAAACACACUCUGGACACACACCUGCAUACCAUGAAGGCUUGUAUGUUACAGACUUACAGGUCCUUUCCAGACCAAAACAUUGACUUUAGAAUUGUACUACUUUAAGAGGAAGAUAAUAAGAUGAAGCCUGCCUGCUGGUUUGCUCCUGCUUGCCCACGUCAGCACCUCCUCCUCACACUGGAUGACUAUGAAACCCUGCCUGACUAACGGAGUCUGACUUGUACCCCUGUUUUUCUCCUCCUGCCCUUCCUGUCACAGAGAUGCUUCAGUAACCAGCACUUUCCCCUGCCAAUGAGAUGAGCGCGGGUUUUCUGUCACUGAGCAUGUUGCUGGAUGAAUAUUGGACCUCUAACCCGUUUCUUUCCUUUCCAUCCUGCCACAGCAUGAACUAACAGGACAGUUUUCUGAGUUAUACCACAUAUUCACAUGAGGAUAGCCUGGGUUCAUUUACCACAGCAGGCAGAUGUUACAAGGUGGCACAUUAUAAACGUCACAAAUAAACGAUUGGGUUACCCAACAUAGUCAACACCUACAGCAAGCGAUCAUUUCUCCAUAACCUAGUGUCCAGACCUGAUGGACAAAACAAAGCAUAGAACAAGACUACGUUUUCCAUUAGUUGCAGAUUUUAGCAGAGCCUCUUACUCUCCUUCAUAUGUAUCCUGCCUAAACAUAUUUGUAGUUGUUUAGGUGGGAUGCAUAUGAAAGGUACAAGGGCCAAACCUCUUUGGCUAAUGCUAGCACAACUGUAUAAGACCAAGUUUACCUACAUACAUUCUUUCAAUUUCUACAUUUUCAAACUUACAAUUAAAUGACAAUAAACUCUGUCUAUGUCAUACUGAAUGAAAUUUCAAAUAUCUAAUGUGAAACAUGAGCAGCAGCCAAACUCAGAUGCAGCUAAACAUAUCCAGUCCACGCAGUACAUCCUGUUUGCCUGCUCAUUACGAAAAUUGUAGCAUUUUUCCAAGAAUCCAACAUAAUAUCAGUUUCUAUCACCUAAUGCACCUAAUGCUUCUUCUGAAUUUGCACAAUCCAGAAGAAGCAUUAGGUGCCAGGGGGAUAUACUGUAUGCUACAGUUUGCUGAGCUGUCAGUGAAAGCUCCCUUCUUGGGCCCACUCCUUUACUCCAGAUUUACUUACUGACCUAUAUCAGUUUUUUGCACUCAGGACCAAUUUUUUAUUAGAAGGAUUUGGUUUCCAUUGCUUGGGUUACUGCGCCUAGCUAACAGGGAUGUUCCCUCUGAGAAGAUAAGAAACUUCAGACAAGUGAAGUUAACCAGAAGCUGCUUGGAAGAACAUGGGUGUAAGAUUACAAGGUCUUCUGUGAAAACGUCUGGGUGAAUGGAAAAGCUCACCCAGACGUUCCCCUCCAGCCAGCAGUGGAGGGGAAGAGAUCUAAGCUGAUACAUGGAGGCAGACCAUGCCACACAUCAGAUGUGACCUUUAUGCAGCGAAGCUAAAUUGGGAGAAUUUGUCUGAUGUCAUUUAGUGUUGAAGCUUUUCUUCUUUUUUAAACUUGGUGCUUAGAUGCAAAUAAUUACAAAAAUAUAGCUAAAUCUUGCUGUAAUAAAAAAAAAGUAGGAUCUGGGUUUUCAGAAAGAAUUCAAAAGCUUCAUAUCCUUCCUGCUGUGGAUUUCUCCUCUCUGUCCCAAUGAGGCUUCUUAUAAAGAUUUGUUUGGAAAUAAAUCACUUUCAGCUUAAAAAGCCCCUGAUUAGCUGGAAACAAAAGAAAACUGUUUCUUAACUGUGAAUUCACCAUAGCUAAGCUCAACAAAGGCCAUGCUGAUAACAAAACUCUUCUCUGUGGAAGUUCUUAUGAAUCAACUCUUGUUUUCAAGAAAUGAAUGAAGCAGAAGCACAAACACUGACAAGCUUCUGAACAGGAAACUAUUUCUAUGUUGACACAAUAAUCAACUAACUGAAGCCAAAUCACCAAAUUAUGCAGUGAUAGUGACAUGUUUUAAAAGUAUCUGAAUCGAUAUCAGUAUUGUAUCUGCAAUGCCAAUAUUCCUCUUAGCAUAAAAAACUCAUGCUGAUAGACUGAAAUGUUUUCAAAAUGUGCUUCAUUAAAGUUUUAAAGGGGCAGGAUUAUGUGUUUUUAAGCACAUAGUUCAUUUUAUAGCACAAUCAAGUAACCAUGUUACCUCCAGUUGUUGAAAAAUGUUAUAUGACUCAAACGAAAUCUGACUUUGCAAGUUAACUCCCUGAAAUUGGGCUUCUGUUGUUUUAAAAACUCUUGGUCUUCCUGAAGCUCCAUCUUCUCUAUCAGUCCUUUAAAAACGUUUUUACCAUUGUUUUACUGACAGUAGCUUGUAUGAUGAGCUCAGCUGAUGAGCAGUUCCACCAGGUGUUUACUAAUUGCUGCUGGCUAGUCUGAAGGAGCUGAGUGGGAGAGGGCUGCUCUAUGAAGUGAAAGCUUGGAAACUGAAGCUCUGAGGAGGAGCUGCAUCUUUGAAAACGGGUCUGGGUCUACCCAGGCAUUUUGCACAGCUGAAUGGUUACCAUGGAGAUUAAAGGUUUGAAAUGUGUGACAUAAUACUGGCCCUUUAAGUGAGCACACUUAUAUUUAUGUUAGUCUUUCUAACAGACUUAUCUGAAUUUUAAAGGACAAAUCUCAGACAUUUCAUGGAUGGAAAGGCUUCAAAGUGAUUAAACACAGUCUUAUUUUGUAUUUUAAAAACGACAUUUUAACAGCAGUGUGUGCAGAAAGUUUUGACAUGCACAAUGAGAACAGGGGCCAAACCAAGCUGCAGUCAAAUAUAAACAGAACAGAUGUUUGGGUCUAAAUAUGAGCAGAGUCCAGACUGUGAGCUCUGCUCCAUGUUCAGCUCACGUCUCAUCAGGCUGUGAAAGAGAAGGAGCUGAUGAAUGACUGGGGAUGACGUUUGCUGGUUGCAGUGAUGUCUGAGGGAAAAUCACGCCCUUCAAUUAUGUUCAAUUUAUUUCUGUUCAUGGACGUUCAUCAGCCAGUCGGGGUAAGCAGCUGGCAGAGGCCACACAGCGAGCGUUUAGCUCCUGCCAGCGAGGCGCCGCUCUGUCUUGCCGUGUCGCCGCUCGGCGGGACGAGCGUCAGAUUCGCCACGUGCGAUUUGAGCUGUGGCUGUUUUCACGCAGACCUUCAUCGCUCUGUCUUCCAGGGGACACCCAGUGGGCACCAAACCUCCGUCUCUCGGGGUCAGAGUCGUCGGGGUCACUGGGUGGUUUACAGACUCUGGGCCUGGUGGAAUCAUUUUUGCCACUUUGCUUCAAAUGUCUGUUUGACGGCUUGUUUUUUGCACAUGCUCAUUGCAUUACAUGAAGCUCAUCGGCUUGUUGCUUUUUAUUUUGCAAGCUUUCUGCAGACUUUUUUAGGAAAUGACAGAUUAAAAAAAAUAAAAACAACAAAAAUACUCUGAGAAACCUGCCAGGAAGGAUAGUUGUGCUUACAUUUUUAGGUCAUGGUAAAAACCUAAAAAUGUAAACUUGAACAUGUCAUUCAGGUCAAAAGAAAUGAGUUUAUUUAUAUAGAUAUAAGCAGGUAGAUUGUUCUAACAUCAGAUAAGUUAUAUUGUUAGCAUUAUUCAGUUUGCUGCUAUUACAUUAAAUGACUUUCUUAAUGUUUUAUCUAUUCAGUCAGAUUAUUGUUAAUAUGCAUUUAUUCCUGCAAUUAAACACAUUCCAGAAACGUAUCCAGUUUGCACCGUAUGAUGACAUUUUCAAACAUUUGAAGUUUACAAAUUUCCAACCAAGUUUUUCCAAUUUGAUAAUUAUUAAGGAAUUUUAUGAUUAAUUAUUAUUAUUAUCGGGUGUCAUCCAGAGACUGUUCUGAACAACACGUUGCUCACACUCUCUGUGUGUGUGAGAGUGUGUGUAGAUAAGUCGGCCAGAAGGUGUGUGUUUGCGGUUUGACCUUGCUUGCAGUGUUCAUCAGAAGAAGCUGCGUCAGAGCAGAUUCCUGUCGCCUUAAGCUGCUCAGAAAACUAUCCACACCCCCGCUGCUGGCCUCUUGAGAGUCACCAAACUAAAACUCUGGUAUUUUACUUGUUAUAUUCAAUUUUUGAGUUUAUAUCAAUUCUAAGCUAAAAUCACCAACACUAACAAAGUGAUGUGCCUAUAGUAUAACACUGUUUAAACCAAAUUCACACACAGGCUAGAAGUAAAUACUCUUCUUCAAGUCAGGAUUACCGAAACUAAUGUGAGCUAAUGCUACAACAGUUGGAUCCGUUUUUGGAUCUUCUUUUUAAUCGUGAUCUAAAUGUCCUUUCUUACAUUUUCUUAGGAUCUCGUAGAAUUGGCCGACAGAGUCUAAGGCUCCAGUCAGAUGUUUUGAAUAUUCUUCCACAAGCUUCAGUUUUCUGGAAUUUUGACCAACAGGACUGAGAUCAGGAUGCUGCAAAACAACGUUGUUGUCCUCACAGCAUUUUGGUCAUUAAAAAAAUAGAUGGAAGGACAUUACUGUUGGGAACAAAUGGACAAGGUGCACCAGUCCCUCUUGCAGUAAAGAAACCAACAAAGCAUGAUGCUGCCAUCGCAGUGCUUCAUAGUUGGGAUAGCAUCCAAAUGUAACAAUAGUCUUUAUGGCCAAAUACCUCACUUUCAGUUCUUGGAAAACAAUGAAAAAUAAAAGUCUGCUAAAAAUCAGAUGUUUUCAAUCAUUCAUGUGAAAGCCAUCGUUUUGGCACGUUUUGAAACGAGCUGUCCAUGUUUGUCCUGAAAGACAUCGAAUUGAUCAGUGCCCAAAAUAUGAGUAAUAUACUUUGAUCUGCUUUCUGCCUGUUCCGUGAUUUUAUCCAAAAUACAGGAAUAGAUGUAUAUUAACAAUAAUAAUAAUAAUAAUAAUAAAAACAGCAUGAAAUGUAAUUUUGGCUACUGGAAUAUUUCUAAAUUUUCUCAAAUGUGGGGUUUCAUUUCUGAGUAAAGAAUGUUUAUAAGAGGACGAUAACAAAACAAGAUUCUCCCUGUUUAGACAUUUAGUUCAGAUCAGCUCAGCUUAUAUAGAUAUAUAGAUAUAUUCACAUAUCUAUAUAUCAAUAGUUACAUAUUAUGUCUGCUUAUUUUGCCCAAGUAAUUUUGCUUUUGACUCAUUUCCUGUUUGCUCUCUUCUUCUUCUGUUGCAGUAUGAUCUAUUCCUUGGUUACCUCAUAACAACUGCUUUGUUAGCAUCCGGGGUCCAGCACCAGUGGCUCCAGACAUCCAGUACAGCAGGUGGCGCUGUGGUGGAAGUGAUAAUUGAACGUAAUGAUGAAGACUUAAAACUUUCUGGGUCCUUUUUUUUCUUUGAAUUAUUAUUAUUUUUACUUUUAUUCUUUUCUUCUGUCCUGCGGAGCCAAACGAUGAACUCAGCUGGAGCCGAAGCCUCUUUUCAGCUUGGCCCAGUCCAGAACUGUUUCAUCUCUGACUGUACAUAGAAACUUUGGACUAAACUGCUGUUUACAGUUUGCUCAUAGCAAGAGUUAUUACACUGCCUGGCCAACGUUUGUAAUACACACGUAUAUUUAAAGGUACAUCCAACUAGCUUGUGCUGCCAAGCUAGCUGCACAGCGGCGCUGACGCUAGCCUGGAGGACGUACAGCACAGUAGAGUUUGCACAGUUUGUCUCAGGCACAGCACAAUGAAGCACUGUCCAGACCCGUCCUCACCCGCCGUAGCGUCUUGUGAGUCGAAGGACAGGUGGGCGAGCAAACGGGUCACACUGUUCGGAGAGGAGGAGCAGGCUCGGGGCACCCUGCUGAGAACACACGAAGUCCCCAGGGGGCUGUGGGAUCUUCUUUCUGACUUUCCAUCAAUGGCUUUUGUGACGUGUGCAUUUUAGUGUAUUCUUUAAUCAAAAGGCGUUUCUGUUUCCUAAACAGCAAAAGGUAUUCCCAGCAAAUGCCUCCUUAGUGUUGUCUUAUGGUGUUGUUCUGUUGUGGGAAACUUUGACUAAAAAAAACAGAACCCAUGGAAAACUUUUGAAGUAGAGGAGCGCACAUUCUUUGCACAAAUACUAAACUCGCUCUCGCACAAAUACCAGUAAUAUCUGCCUGUUACGGCAGGGAAGGCUUCUCAUGUUCCGGCUUCACAGGUGAAGGUCUUCCAACGUGUUCGGCCCGAGCAGCCCGCCUCUUCUGAACGCAGGGAAACAAUGUGAAUCUUUUCUAGCUCUCUCGGACCAAAAUGUUGUAUUUAAUUAUUUAAGCAUAUGAAUUUAUGCCUAUUUAUGAGAUGCUGACAGUUUUAACAGUCUGUUCCAAAAGUAUCGUACAGAGUAUCAAGAAUAAAAUCAACUUUAGAAAAUAUUUCAGGGUAUAUGGGAGGUUUUCAGGACCCCAUGGAUAACUCUUCUUAUAAUCAUUCAAAUGACUGAGAUCGGCUGGACCUCUUCGCAGGACAGGUGUUUGAACCUGGACCUCCACGUGUAGCUCGCCCUCCGAGCCAGCAGGCCGCUCUUUAAACCUUCACCGCCGUCUUUACCUGCCAUGUGAUUCUGUGUGGCAGAGCAGAAAGGAAUACCCUCUUCUUCUUUUCUCUUCUUCUAACUUGAGCAUUUUAUAUCCUAAGUGUGGUAUGUAUGUGACCAAAAAGGUUGAAUUUAGAUAUUGUUUAUGAAAUAAAGUAUUUUAAAAUCUAA